AGUAUGUUUCUAGGUAGAGAAGAAACUUAACGAGCUUAGCAUUGUGGGGCAUAAUUAUCAGACUUUAGGCUUUCCAAAAAUGUCUAGUGUAACCUUGGUAACCAUUUGAACUGUCUUUGGUGCUGAACUACACAGUUUGGGGAAGACGGUAUUUUGUUCUCCCCCUGAAACAAUGGGACUUUCAUUUAUUUGGAAGGUCUCCCUCUUCCCAGGAUACAGUAGUUCUCAAUAUUCUUGGUCAAAUAUACGUCAUUUUCAGUUUUUUUGCUUUACUUUUAUUGUGACUCUAUGAAGAGAAGCGGGACCACAGCAGGAUUUGAGUCUUGAGAACCAGAAGGGGGCCGUGAUCCCCACCUUGCAGUGCCUCUUCUAUUCCCCAGCCAUCCCUCUUCUUCAUCUCUUGGUGUUUCUCAAGGCCUCUGCCCUGCCUCUUCAACUAACUCCCCACCGCGGUCCACCCACACACUCUUCUGAAAAUGGUGUUUACCUGGACCGUUACAAGUUCUGGAGUCUACAAACUCAAAAUGAAGGAGUCAACACAGUCCUAACCCUUCUGAAGACUCUACAGAAGAAUUAUUUGCCUCAUUCUAUCUUCUUAUGGUCACUGACAAUCCCUGGGAUUUUUCUGGCUUGUAGAUGCAUCAUUCCAAUCAUUACUUCCAUUUUUAUGUGUUAUUCUUCCUGUGAAUUGAUGUCUCUGUGCCAAUUUUUUCCUUUUCUUAUAAGAUUGCCAUUCAUAUAGGAUUUUAGGGCCUGCUGUAAUUCAGUAAGACUUCAUCUUAACUUCAUUAUAUCUAUAAUGACCUAUUUGCAAAUAAGUUCACACUCAAAGGUUCUGGGUGAGUGGUGAAUGUUGGGGAAACACUAUUAUAGCUGAUAUAGUCCCCAAGGUCUCACUUCUGAUGCCAAGGACAGAUCUCAUGGUCUACAUGAUUAUUUUCAGGUUCUACUCAUAGUAGUAGUCUAUUACAACAAAAAGAUACAGAUGAAAAUCAGCAGAGGGAAGAGGCACAUAGGGCAAAGCCCUGGAGAUACCAAGGUAUAGAGCUUCCGGUUGUUCUCUCCUAGUGAACUCUUGCACAGAAGAAACUAUUUUUCCAAGCAAUAAUAUGAGGCAAUAUAAGUAGACUAUGCCAAUCUUGGAAGCUUACCUUAGCCUUAGUGUCAAGAGUUUUUACUAGGGCUGGAUCACAUAGAAAUGGUUGCUCAUGCACAUAGUUGACCUUGGUUUCCAGACCCUUUAGGGGUCAAACUGAUAUGAUGUGGCUCAACGUUCUCCACUAUAAAUCACAUUGUUAGCAGAGAUUAUGCAGAGAAGCCAUAGGCCUCCAACUAAACAAAGAUACUCCUAUAAGGUAGGCAAUACAAAGGCUUGGACAUUACUUCACAGGAGCUGAGGCUAAAGGUUAAAUUUCUCUUUGGACAAAGAUAGUCCCCUACUAGACAAAUUUUGACUAGUAUUAAUUGAACUAUAAAGGUCAAUUUGGGAGACCUUGAUGUCUAAACAAUAUUGAUCCUCCUAAUCCAUGAUCAUGGUAUGUGUCUUCAUCUAUUAAAUCUUAAGUUAUAUAAACCAGCUUUAUAAUUUUAA